UACGUAGGGGGCAAGCGUUGUUCGGAAUUACUGGGCGUAAAGCGCGCGUAGGCGGCUUGUUAAGUCAAAUGUGAAAUCCCCGAGCUUAACUUGGGCAUUGCAUUCGAUACUGGCAAGCUAGAGUAUGGGAGAGGAAGGUAGAAUUCCAGGUGUAGCGGUGAAAUGCGUAGAGAUCUGGAGGAAUACCGAUGGCGAAGGCAGCCUUCUGGCCUAAUACUGACGCUGAGGUGCGAAAGCAUGGGGAGCAAACAGG
rnacentral:rRNA from 1 species